AUGUCCAGGGCGAAUGCCGAGGGCGGCUGCCAGCCCGGGGCUCAGGGUGCAUAUCUGACUGAGCCGGUCGUGCACGCCGGGACCACCCCGCAGUGCUGUUGCCACUGCCGCCUCUUUAGAGAGCGUCCGACUCCCCAUCACUUUCACUCAAAAGACGCAGAGCGAGGGCCUCUGAGAACCAGCUCUUUCCCCUUCACCUUGGCCUUGCACUUCCUGCUCACGGUCCACCAUGGAGACGUCCUUCUGUUGGAAUAUCAGAUUUGUUUCAGUUACUACAGCCCCCGGCAAAGGCCCAAGUUGCUGGAUUGCAGGUACACCUGCUAUUCAGUGUGCGUCCAGCAGAUAAGGACCAGCCAGAAGGACGUGUGGUGCUCCUGGUGCCGCGGUGUCAUCAAGCUGCCCCGGCUUUUCCGUGUCGCAGCUCCUGGAUGACCCCGAGGUCCUGGCUGUCAUCGCCAUUCCACACACUUCCGAAAAUACACGGUCUUCAUCAUAAUUCCCAGCAACGGGUGCUACAUGCCGCCGCUGGCCGUCUCCAAGGAGCGUGCGCCGCUGCCCGGAGACAUGGGCUGGUGCCUGCUGCCCAAGAGCCCACAGAAGUCCGUCACCGUGGUGACCAUCCCCGCUGAACAGCAUUUUGUGGAAGGCGGGGCUCCCCAGGAAGUGGUGGAGGAGGAGCAGGGCAGGCGGGGCGUAGUGAAAAGCUCCACCUGGUUAGGGGUGUGCACUGUCAUCUUGGUGGCCUGCGUCUUGGUAUUUCUUCUCUGCAUCGUGCUCCGCAACAUAUCCUGCAUUUCUAAGUCCUUCACUGUGAUGUCUUGUGGCUGAAGAGGGCUGCAGGGAAGUCUCUUGGGGGUGCCAGCUCUGGGGUUGAGCAUGUUGUGAUGAGAUCCCAGUGAGAAGAUGAGAGGUGGACACUGACCAUUUUGUGCUGAGCGCUGGCCUCUGGUUUACCUCUUGAUUUACCCCAACACAAACACGAAGGGCAGGAGGUGAGGCCUCAACAAGAUACCAGGUGAAUUGUUCUGAGUAUUGAUGGCAGCAGCUUUGAAGGUGAUUGCAUGCAUCCUUAUAAUCAUGUAUUCGAUGGGCUGUAAUUUCUGAUUUUCCAAAAUAAUGUUAUAAGAUAGAUGUAUUCUACUUAGAUGUUAGACUGUAGAAGUGCAUACAAUGUAAUGUUCUCUAAAUGUGUUAGAUUAAAACAAAGAUGCUAUGUAUACAAGUAGAAUUAAACCUGCAAAUCCAUGUAAAAAUUCAGUUAAGACAUGCAGUGCUGGCUUCUUACUUACUUAUUUCAUUUUAUUGAAACUCGGUCUUCAUUUAGUUGCUAAUGCAUUUUAUACAUUUUGAAUGGCACCAAAACAAAAUAAGUCAAAAUGGACAGUCUUUUUUUUGGAGAAAAUAUUUGAGCUAGUGUCUCCAGUUUGUUGCGUUUUGUCAUGAACCUUCAUUUUCUUCACUUGUAAUUAGAGCUUGCUAUGUGUUAAACUGAAAGCCCAGCAGGGGAGCAAUAAACUGAAAAAUCAUGAGGAAAAAAAGAGUACAUAUUGCAGAUACUAGAUUUUUAUCUAAGAUUUGUAAAUAUUUUCUCCCAUUCUGCAGGUUUUUUUUUCUCUUGACAGUGUCCCUUGAUGCACACAUUUUCAAUUUUUAUGAAGUCCAAUUUAUUUUUCUUUUGUUGCUUUUGGUGUUAAAUCAGAAAAAACCAUUGCCAAAUCCAACUUCAUAAGGAUUUACUCCUAUGUUUUUUUCUAAAUGUUUUCUAGUUGUAGCUCUUAUAUUUAGGUCUUUGGUUCAUUUUGAAUUAAUUUCUAUGUAUGGUGUGAGGUAUGGGUCCAACUUUAUUCUUUUGCACAUGGAUAUCCAGCUGUCCUAGUAUAAGGUCCAUUCUUUACGAGCAUGCAGAAGCUAGAUGCUGCACAGUAAAGAUUAGGGGUCACAAUACUAAGUCGUUUUUUUUUUGAGAUGGAGUCUUGCUCUGUGGCCCAGGCUGGAGUGCAGUGGCAUGAUCCUGGCUCACUACAACCUCCUAGGUUCAAGUGAUUCUCCUAUCUCAGCCUCUGGAGUAGCUGGGAUUACAGGUGCAUGCUGUCAUGCCUGGCUAAUUUUUUGUAUUUUAGUAGAGACGGGGUUUCACCAUGUUGCCCAGGCUGGUCUCAAACUCCUGAGCUCAGGCAAUCCACCUGCUUUGGCCUCCCAAAAUGUUAGGAUUAUGUGUGUGAACCACCGUGCCUGGCUAUACUAAGUCUUUAACUGGCUCGGGUAAAGAAACUGCUCACCAGGUUCUGCCCACACAGCCCCUUUGAAAAGAGCAUCUUGAUCUUUAGUGGUCUUCAAGUGUCUGAAGUUUGAGUGGCAACUUGCUGUGUCUUUCUUUUCCAAAGCUGGAAUGAUUGGAAAUAAAUUAACUUAGUUAUAUUAUGAAGGAUGGUAUCUAAAUGCAAAUACUAUUAUGCAUUAACUUUCAAAGAGGCUACUAAAAAUGUCUACCAAGUUUCUUUAUUUUCUUUGCUUUCUUUUUUUCUUUUUUGAGAUGGAGUUUCAUUCUCGUUGCCCAGGCUGGAGUGCAAUGGCAUGAUCUUGGCUCACCACAACCUCCACCUCCCUAAUCCAAGCGAUUCUCCUGCCUCAGCCUCCAGAGUAGAUGGGAUUACAGGCAUGUGCCACCACACCUGGCUAAUUUUGCAUUUUUAGUAGAGACGGGUUUUCUCCAUGUUGGUCAGGCAGGCUGGUCUGAAACUCCUGACCUCAGGUGAUCUGCCCACCUUGGCCUCCCAAAGUUCUAGGAUUACAGGUGUGAGCCACUACGCCUGGACCCACCAAGUCUCUUAAAGUGUGGGCCAGAUAUUAAUAUGUCUGCAGUCACUUAGGGGAGCUAAUGAAAAUACUUUUAAGAUUUCUUAUAUUCUGAUGUCCAGGAAUGGUAGGAAGUGAAAGUAAAACAACUAAUAGAGGUCAUUAGUGCCAUAGGCACUUUUCUACAAAGGUAGACAAAUGACAAAGAAAGGUCAGGCCACCAAGCUGAUCCUUGGCUGCGUAGCCCUUCCAUGUAAACAGUGGGUCCAGGACAGAUACUUCUCCAGAGCAGACACACUGGUUUUAGAUUCGUUCAUGAACUUAAGUGAAACCAAUGAAUCCAGUAACCAUCAGAAAGCUUUUUUUCUUUUCUUCCUUCAAGCUAUAAUUUUAUUUUCAUAAAUCUAAAGAGAAUGAAUUUUCAUUAAUUUUUAGUUCUUCACUGCUUGGGCAAGAGGGUUUGAUUGCAUUAUUACUCAUUAAUAUUGUGAGGCAUACAGAAUGCCUACUAUAUGCAGGGUUUCAGGUGCAAAAUGAUUAAGAAUAAUCCUAUAGCUUUAAUAAUUGUUUUAACCUUUUUAUACAUUUGGAUAAUAUGUACACAGACAGAUACAUAGUCACCCUACCUUAUUUCAGAUUUCAGGCCAUCUUGCUAUUAAAAUCUUUUGAUUUCUACAUGUCUUGUUUCUACUUUACCUGGUUCCUUAAGAUAAUUUAGGGCAGCAGGAGGAGGAGGAUUUCUAGAGAGAGAUAGAAAAAAGCCCCCAUAGAUGUCUUUAAUGUUGAGUAUUAAGGAAAACAAUCUAAAGUAUCAUUAGACUUGAAUAAACUAUAAGAUUCAGAAUAAAAGUGAACCUAUAUUUUAAAAACAUGUUUAAUUUUGAAAUAAUUUUAGAUUUGCAGAAAAGGUACAAAACAUGGAUAGUUUAACUAUAUCCUUUAUCUAGCUUUCUCUAAUAUUAACAGCUUACAAAUCAUUAUACAGUGAUCAAAACCAGGAGAUUAAUAUUGGUACAAUACUAUUAACCAAACUUCUGAUUUUUUUUUUACCAGUUUUUCUCCUAAGCCCUCUUUUCUUUUCCAUGAUCAAAUCCAAGAUCUCGCAUUACAUUUACUUGGUGUCUUCUUAAUCUCCUCCCAUCUAUGACAGUACCUCAUUAUUUCCUUGGCUUUUAUGAUAAGUACUUUUGAGAGACCCUGGUUAUUCAUUUAGUAGAAUUUCUUACUUUGAGUUUGUUCAAUAUUUUGUCAUGAUUAGAUUGAGAUUGUGCAUGUUUUUGCUUAUUUUUCUUAAACCACAAAAUGCUUUUUUGUCUUUCUUGUUGAACAGUAUCAGAGGAUACAUGAAAUUGAUAUGUCUUGUUGCCAGUUGUGUUAACCUUAAUCACUUCAUUAAGGUUGUGUCCAUCAAGUUUAUAUGCACUGUAAAGUUAUUAUUUUUUCUUUUUAAUUGAUAAAUAUCUUUGAGUGGAUACUUUGAGACUUUGUUAAUAUCCUGCUUUUUCUUGAACUUUGGCCCACUGAUUUCAUCUUUCAUUGGUGGGAUCUUACAUGCAAAAAUUAUUGCUCUGAGAUUGCCUAAUAGUGAUUUUUAAAAAUUUACCUCAUUUUAUCUGUGUUUGUUAAUUGAAAGAGCUGUCCCUUCUUGUGUGUUUAUUGAUCCAAUAAUUUAUAUCACUGUAUUUUCAUGGACAUUUUAUUCUAUGGGUUAUAACCAUCAUUAUUUAUUUUGUGGCUCAGGUUCCAGCUUUGACUUUGACUAAUUUCCAUUUGCUUUCUACAUCUUUUUAAUAGAACCCAUCCCUUUCUGAGUGCUUGCUUCUUUUCUGUGAUUACAAUAUAUGCCAGGCUCGGCUCAUCUUAUAUUGUUCCUGCCGCAGUCCUGGAAUUAAUGACUUCUUCAUGGAGUCACGGUUUCUUUUGUCAGAGAAUGAUAUUUGGAAAUUAAGACCUGGGCUCUGGAUAUGCUUAUUGUUAUGGUGAUUAUUCCUAGGUCCUGUCAGCAAAGAUUUCUAUGUAUAUGAACCCAUGCAUAGACACAUAUCUGUAUUUAUUUCUACAUCUACCUAUCUGUAUAUAUUUUCUAAACCACAAGUUCAUAUUGACACCUUUAAUUCCAAUCCAGUGUGACAUGUUUCAUUCUAGCUCUUUCUCUUUCUUUAUUUGUAGGUUUUUUUUUUUUCUCAGACACUGAGACACUUAUACUAUCUUCACUUCAAUCCCAGUAGACAUGUAAAAUAGUUAUGGAAUUGCCAGUACAUACCCCAGUGAGAAACAGAUUCAAUAACUAGAGGAUGUUAUUUGCAUUAUUUUUAGUCUUCACAGUAUCCAGUCAAAAUACUAUUUUCAUAAGUUAAUAAGGUUAGUUUGUCCUGGCUCCUUCAGUGUGGUUAGAUUAUUGACUUGUAAUGCAGUUGGAUUUAUUUGUUAUGCAUUGUAUUCUCUUCACAUCUGUUUGGUUUUAAUUAAUUACAGAGCUGAGGAGUAUAUGAAACAUUACUGUGGUUCUAAUAGUCAAAGCUAUAUAGAAAGAUACAUUCACAGUGGUAAUGCCAGCACUUUGGGAGGCUGAGGUGGGCAGAUCACCUGAGGUCAGGAAUUCAAGACCAGCCUGGCCACAUGGUGAAACCCCAUCUCUACAAAAAUGCAAAAAUUAGCCAGGCAUAAUGUCAGGUGCCUCUAAUGGGUACUCAGGAGGCUGAAGCAGGAGAAUUCCUUGAACCCAGGAGGCAGAGGUUGCAGUGAGCCAAGAUUGUGCCCUUGUACUCCAGCCUGGGUGACAGACCAAGACUCCAUCUUAAAAAAAAAAAAAAACUCUAAGAAAUAUUAUGCCUCCUUCUCCCUAUUAACCCAUUCCCAUUCCCCCCCUCUUUAUAAUAUCCUGUUCCCACCCUUCCUGUAUAGGUAUUCAGUCUCUUAACCAAGAUAAAUCUUUGGUUUGUCCUUCCUACAUUUAUUUGGUACAGUGAAUAGCUACAUUUGUAUUUUCUUAUGCCCCCUUCUCUCAUGUGUGAUGGGUAGCAUAUCAUCGAUAACUUGUUUACUUCACAUCGAUAUCAUCGAUAACUUGUUUACUUCACAUUUUUCAUGUAACAGUAUAUCCUGGAAACCACUCCAAAUCAGUUCAUAGAGAUCUUUAUCAUUUUUAAAAAAUGGUUGAAUCGAAUUUUAUUGUGUAGCUAUAUCAAAAUUUAUUCAAAUGAUAUAUGUACACUAUAUUAGUUUUCUAUUGCUAUAACAAAUUAUCACAAACUUAGUGAUUUAAAACAACAUAAAACUUUUUGUCUUAGAUUUCUGAAGGCCAGAAGUUUAAAAUGGGUCUCAAUGGAUGAAAAUCAAGAUGUAAGUGGGGCUGCAUUUCUUCUAGAGGGUCUAGGAGAAAAUCCUUGCCUUUUUUAGUUUCUAGAGGCCACCUGUGUUCCUUGGCUCAUGGGCUCUUCCUCCAUACUUAAGCUAGCAGUAUGGCAUCUUCAUUUCUCUCUAAUUCUGACUCUCUUGCCUCCAUCUUUCACUUACAAGGACCCUUAUGAUUACACGGGGCCUGAUAAUACAGGAUCACUCUUCUCUUCCCAUCUCAAAAUCCCGAGCUUAAUCAAAUCUCCAAAGUCCUUUUUUGCAUGUAAGGAGAUAAAUUCACAGGUUCUGGGGAUUAGAUAUGGGCUUCUCUGAGGGCCCAUUAUUCUGCCUACCACAGGUACUUAGGCUAUUUCCAAUAUUUUGCUAUUACAAGCAGUACUACGAAGAAUAACUUUGUGCUUUAAUAUUUUUAUGUAGUUGGAGGUGUAUCUUCAGGGUAGAUUUUUAGAGGUGAGAUUGCUGAGUUAAAGGCGAGUACUUGUUAGAUAUUGCUACAUUUCUCUUCAGAGGGUUUAUCAGUUUGAGAGUGGCUGUUUUCCCAAAGUCUCACCAUCAAAGUGUGUUGUUUUGCUUUUUAGUUUUUGCCAGCCUGACAAGCAAGAAAUGGUAUCUCAGUCUUGCUUCAAUUUGCUUUUCUUUAAUUAUGAGUGAAUUUGAAUGUUUUCUCACAUUUGAGGGCCAUUUAUAUGUCUUGUUUUUGUGAAUUUUCUGUUUACUGGGCUUUUGUCUAUUGUCCCUCAAAAGUUCUUUAUAUAUUAGGAGUACUGGCCUCUUGUCUGUGGAUAUAUCUUCCUAAUAUUUUCUCUCAGAUUGUCACUUGUUUAUGGUGGUUUAAAAAUUUUUGCACCAUGAAAAAAAAUUUAGUUUUAUAUGGUCGUUACUAUUUUAUUGCCUCUACAUUUUGAUUCUUGAUUUGGAAAGAUUUUCCCUAUACCACAGUUAUCUUUGUUUCCCUAUGGUACUUUUGUCUUCAUUCAUUUUUUGUUGCUAUAAUCCAGUAUACAGAGUGGGUAAUUUAUAAAGAAUAGAGAUUGAUUUAGCUCAUGGUUUUAGAGGCUGGGAAGUCUUCUUCCUUUUGCGUCAGGACAUGGCAGGAAACAUUGCAUGGUGAGACAGAGCAAGUAAGCCAAGAAAGCUUGGUUUUAUAACAAAGCCAUGAUAACAAACCUACUCUCGUGAUAGGGCCAUUAAUUUAUUCAUGAGGGCAGAGCCAGCAUUUAUUCAUUCAUGAGGAUAAAGGAUUAAGUUUCCAACACAUGUACUUUGGGGGGACACAUUCAAACCAUAGCAACUUAUAUAGCUUCAUUUAUUGACAUUUAGAUUCUGAAUCCAUUUGGGGUUUAUUCUCAUAUAUGAUAUGAGAUAGGGAUCUGAUUUUAUCUUUUUCUGAUGGCCACCUUGUAGUACCUAUACCACUUACUGAGAAGUCCAUCUUUAUCUCCAGUAAGUUGAGAUACUGCCUUUAUCACAUACUAAGUCUCUGUAUGUACUUGCAUCUAUUUCUGGACACUCUAAUUCACUGGUGAGUUUGUCUAGCCAUGUACUGGUACUGUAGUGUUGUAAUUAUAGACACUUCUUAGUAUGGUUUAAUGCUUGGUGGGGCUAGUAUACCACAGUGUAUACCAUAUACACUGUGGUUUUUCUUUUUCAGUGUUUUCUUGGAUAAUAUUGCAUGUUUGAUUUUCUACAGAAAUUUUAGUAUCAAGAGGCCCAAGUAUAAAAUACUCUUGAUAUUUUUCAUUGGGAUUGUAUUAAUUUAUACAUUUAUUUAUGAAGAACUAUUGAGUCAUUUUAUUCAAGAAUAGAAAAUGUUUCUCCAUUUGUUUAAGUCUAUUUUAAUGUCUUUCAGAAGCUUAUAAAUAAACUGUUGGCUAAACUAAAGUGUUUUUUUGGUAAGAAAAAAUGAAAUUUUAAGUUAAAUUUAAAAAUGUAAUUUAUUGUCAGUAAUUAGAAAUAUAUUCUUAUAGUUGGAUGUCUUGCUUAGCCAACAAUGGGGCUGUGUUAGCAGGGGCUUAACAUCAUGGCAUGGCUGCUGAGAACUGUGGAUUCAUUCUUCUUUAUGUGCACUUGGAGGUUCACAGGCUUUGGAAUUACACAUACCUGCGUCCAAACCUGACUCCAUCACUUACUGGUUCAGUGACCAUGGAUAAGUGACACAAGCUCUCUGAGUCUGGCUUCUUCAUCACUAAGAUGGGGAGAAGGAAACCCAAGAACUGGUUCAUGUAGCAGAGUAGAUGCUCAAUAAUGUUUCCUUCUUUUCUUUCUUUUUUUGAAAAAGGGUCUUGCUCUCUCUCCCAGGAUGGAGUGCAGUGGCACAAUCUUGGCUCACUGCAAAUUCUGCCUCCCAGGUUCAAGUGAUUCUCCUGCCUUAGCCUCCUGGGUAGCUGUGAUUACAGAUGCAUGCCACUAUGGCCCAGCUAAUAUUUGUGUUUUUAGUAGAGAUGGGGUUUCACCAUAUUGACCAGACUGGUCUCAAACUCCCAACCUCAGGUGAUCCACCUGCCUCGGCCUCCCAAAGUGCUGGGACCACUGCACCUGGCCUGUUUCCUUAUUUUCUUAUCUGCUUUUUCUCUUAUUCGCUCAUGAUGACUACUCCAUUCUUUCUUUCAUCUCUAGUUUCAUUAUAUACAUAACCAGACAGUAAGUUAAGCUAAAUAUUGUCAUGCAAAUAACCAUUUUCUUUAGCCAUAUAACAAUUUACAAUAUUAAUAUUAUAUCAAGCUGAAGUAAAUAAUGCUGAUCUGUUUCAUCUAUGAGUAUUGUUUAUUGGUCUUAAGGUAAAAGACUGUGCUUUAAAAAAUGGAGACAAAAAUUUAUUGUUCAUUUGUGAACAUUUAUGUGAAUUACUGAUGCCAUUUCUAAUCUUUCUCUGUGGUACAGGCCAUAAACCUGUAUUAGAGGUGAACUGUUUUAAUUUUCUACUUUGGAUCUGCCUUAUUCCAAGAACUAUGCAAUAGACAAUAGUGUUAGACAAAGUUUCAGUGUGAACAAAUUAAUUCAUUUUUAUAGAGAAGCAUAAUCUAAAACAUAAUUUUCCCAACCCUGCCCACUUAAACUGCUUAUUGCCUUAGUUAUGAUUUCAACAUGAUUUUGGUGACUUCUGUUAAUUUCUUUUUUAUUUUGAGACAGAGUCUGGGUCUGUCACCAGGCUGGAGUGCAAUGGCAUGAUCUUGGCUCACUACCCACUGCAACCUCUGCCUCCUGGGUUCAAGCAAGCAUGUCGGCUAAUUUUUGUAUGUUUUUUAAUAGAGAUGGGGUUUCACCAUGUUGGCCAGGCUGGUCUUGAACUCCUGACCUCAAGUGAUCCACCUGUCUCGGCCUCCCAAAGUGCUGGGAUUACAGACAUGAGCCACCAUGCCUGGCCACUUCUGUUAAUUUCUGUGCCUUAAGUUUGUAGUGAAGUUGAUUGCACAGAUUGUGUAAUGAAACAUAAAUGUUUAUACUUGAAAACGAUAGCCUUAAAUGUUCAUUUCAGUCACACAUACAAAAAAGAAUAGGUACAAUUAAUGCCAGCAACAGCAGUUUUUCUUGCUUUUAAAAACAAAGUUUUAAAGUCAAAAUAUUAUUUCAUUAUUUUAAAAGCAGUUUUUUAAAUCAUCUUAUAUACUUUGGUUUCUAGGGUUUUAAAGGUAAAAGUUUCACCAGGUCCCACUUCUCCUAUACUUGUCCUUAAACUUAGAUAAGAAUUUGAAAAGCAAUGCCUUAGAAUGUUUCUGGAAAAAAAGUUGGAAUUUCAUUAUUCCAAGAUAUAAUGGAGGUAUAGGCACUGGGUAAACACUCUCUCAUUCCAAAAAUGAGUAUUUGGUCAAAAGAAAGGGGCUACAGGCCCCAUGCAUCUGAAAUCCAGCAGAGCAGUCAUUAGAUCUUAAAGCUCCAAACUAAUCUCCUUUGACUCCAUGUCCCCAGAUCUAGUGCACACUGGUGUGAGGGAUGGGCUUCCAAGGCUUUGGCCAGCUCCACCCCUGUGGUUUUGCAAGAUUCAGCCCCCACAGCUGGUCUGAUGUGCUGGUGUAGAGUGUCUGUGGCUUUUCCACAUACAGGAUCUAAGCUGUUGGUGGAUCUACUGUGCUGGGGUCUGAAGGAUAUAUAUGAAUUUAUUAAGUAUUAACUUAUGUAUAUGGGAGUAUAUGCGGUUUUAUUAUUAACUCACACAAUCACAAGGUCUCACAAUAGGCUGUGUGCAAGCUAAGGAGCAAGGAGAGCCAGUCUGAGUUCCAAAAUUGAAGAACUUGGAGUCCGAUAUUAAAGGGAGGAAGCAUCCAGCACAGGAGAAAGAUACAGGCUGGAAGACUGGGCCAGUCUAACUUUUCACUUUUUUCUGCCUGCUUUAUAUUCGCUGGCAGCUGAUUAGAUGGUAUCCAUCCAGAUUAAGGGUGGAUCUGCCUUCCCCAGCCCACUGACUCAAAUAUUAAUCGCCUUUGGCAACACCCUCACAGACAUACCUAGAAUUAAUACUUUGCAUCCUUCAAUCCAAUCAAGUUGACAGUUUUAACCAUCACAGUGCCCCAGUAGACUCUUUGUGGGGCUUCAACCCUGUAUUUCCCCUCUGCACUGCUCUAAUAGAGGUUCUCCAUGAGGAAUCUCCCCCUGCAGGAGGCUUCUGCCUAGACAUCCAGGCUUUUCCAUACAUCCUCCAAAAUGUAGGAAGAGGCUCCCAAGCAUCAAUUCUUAUACUCUGCAUAUUCACAGGCUUAACAUCCCAUGGAAGCUGCCAAAGCUUACAGCUUGCACUUCUGGAGCAGUGACCUGAGCCGUAUCUGUAUCUGUGUUGUGUCUGACCUGAGGCUGGAGCUGGAGUGACUGUGAUGUGGGUAACAAUGUACUGAAGCUGUGCAGGGAAGUGGGGCUCUGGGCCUGGCCCAGGAAACCAUUCUGUCUUCCUAGGCCUCUGGGCCUAUGAUGGAAGGGGCUGCUACAAAGUUCUCUGAAAUGUCUUCAAGGCCUUUUCUCCAUUGUCUUGACUGUUAGACUUGGCUCCUCUUUACUUAUACAAAUUGAUGCAGCCUGCUUGAAUUCUUCACCCAGAAAUGGGCUUUUCUUUUCUACCACAUGGCCAGGCUACAGAUUUUUAAAACUUUUAUGCUCCCUUUUAAAUAUAAGUUUCAGUUUUAGGUCACUUCUUUGCUCACAUAUGUGAGCCUAGGCUGCUAAAAGUAGCCAGUCUACAUCUUGAAUGUUUUGCUAGUUAGAAACUUUUCAACAGAUACCCUAAAUCAUCACUCUCAAGUUCAAAGUUGCACAUAUCCCUCAGCAGGGGCACAGUGCAGUCAGGCUCUUUGCUAAAGCAUAACAAAAGUGACUCUUCCACUUCCCAUAGGUUCCUCAUUUCCAUCUGAGGCCUCAUCCACCUGGCCGUGUCUGUCCAUAUCACUGUCAGCAUUUGGGUCACAACCAUUCAACAAGUGUUUAGGAAGAUCCAACUUUCCCUCAUCCUCCUGUCUUCUGCUGAGCCCUCCACACUCUUCCAACCUCUGCCCAUUACACAGUUCCAAAGCCAUUUUCAGUAUGAACAAGAUAAUAUGGUUUUAUAGCAAAAUAUCAUGUAAAAUAUAACUUUUUUCCUAACCCCUCCACAUUUAGAAAAUUUAUUCCCUCAGUUAAAAUUUCUAUAUGUCUUUGUGGGCUUCAGUUAAAUUCCAUGACUUGGGCUUAUAAUAGAGUUGUGAAUAUACAGAUUAGAUAAUGAAACAUUAAACCUUUGUGGUACUUGAAAAUGGCAGCAUUAAAUGCUAAUAUCAGUCAUACACACACACACACACACACACACACACAAUAGUUACAGGUGCAAUUAAGAGUGACAAUAGCAUUUUCCUUUCCUUUUAAAAUUAUGGCUUUAAAGUCAAAUGUUACUGUUUUUAAGCCAGUUAUUUCAAAAUCCUAUGUAACUUGGUUCCUAGAGUUUUUCGGGUAAAGUCUCCAAAUUCUUCACUUAUCCUAUUCUUAAGACAUCAAUUUAGGUGUGGAUUUGCGAAGCAAUGCUUCAGAAUAUUUUUUUUUUUGAAAAUAGGUAAGAACAACAUUCUAAGGCUUCCUAGAAGUGUAAUUGGACAUGUUUACGUUAAGGAUAGAACCUGAAAUAGAAUAUUGUAAUGCUAAUUUAUUUAUUCAACAGUUUUUAAAGGCCUGACAAUAUGCCAGGUCCUGUGCUAGUCAGUAAAGAUAUAAAGAUAAAAACAUAAGGUUGAGAAGUUUUAUAAUAAUUAUAUGUUCUGAAGUGUUUCAAAUUAUAUCAUGUAGUGCUUUUCUUGGAAGAAGAACUAUUUACAGUAUGUUCAGUAAACAAAUUUUGUGUUUUCUUUGUGUAUAUGAAAAAUUAGUAAUGUUAGUUUAAGUUCAUGGGUAGUUUCAGAUCAAAUAUAUUUAUUGAAGACAAAUUAGCAGUAUGGGGCCAUUGGGUUAGGGAUUUAUUUAUUAUGGUAAGAUUUUUCAUUUAGCAUCUGAAUUUUUGUUAUAUAUGGGAACAUUAAUUUGAUUGUCAAUCAUUGUACGUGUUUUAGUUGCCAAAUUAUAGAAUAAAAUUAUGUACUCCAAAAUAAAAAUAUUAAUUUGAAGCAAUAUUUGCUUUCAGAAAAUUUUGAACAUGGAGACCUCAAAGUUUUAAAAGCAAUAUGAAAGUAAGGGAUUAUAGGUGAUAUUUCUCUCCUGAAAAACUCUGCAGUUACAUUUUGUUUUAUAAUGUACACAAACAAAAAGUGCAGUGAGAGCUGCAACUGUAGACCUCAUACCUUAACUUUGGUUUUUUUUUUUUUUGUUUAUUUUUUUCUUUUUGAGGAGUCUUGCCCUGUCACCCUGGCUAGAGUGCAGUGGUGUGAUCUUGGCUCACUGCAACCUCUGUCUUUUGAGUUCAAGUGAUUCUCCUUCCUCAGUCUCCUGCGUAGCGGGGACUACAGGCGCCAUGCCUGGCUAAUGUAUUUUUAGGACAAUCAGGGUUUCACUGUGUUAGCUAGGAUGGUCUUGAUCUCCUGACCUCAUGAUCUGCCCACCUUAGUCUCCCAAAGUGCAGGGAUAACAGGCGUGAGCCACUGCCCCCAGCCCAACUUUGUUUUAAUUUUUAAUAUUUUUUAAAAUUUCAAUAGCUUUUAGGGUACAAGUGUUUUAUGGUAACAUGAAUGAAUUGUAUAGUGGUGAGUUCUGAGAUUUUAAUGCACCUGUCACCCAGCUAGUGUAUACUGUACCCAAUAUGUAGAUUUUUUUAAGUUAUAGUCUAUGUGCAGGAUAUGCAUGUUUGUUAUAUAGAUAAACUUGUGCAUGGUGAUUUGCUGCACCUAUCAACCCAUCACCCAUGUAUUAAGCCCAGCAUGCAUUAGCUCUUUCCCAUAAUGUUCUCCUCUGGUCCCCCCUCCGUCAACAGGCCCCAGUGAUUGUUGUUCCCCUCACUGUGUCCAUGUGUUCUUAUUAUUCAGCUCCCACUUAUAAGUGAGAACAUGCAUUGUUUGGUUUUCUGUUCCUGCAUUAGUUUACUGAGGAUAAUGUCUUCCAACUUCAUCCAUGUCCUUGCAAAGGACAUGAUCUUGUUUGUUUUUGUGGCUGCAUAGUAUUCCAUGGUGUAUAUGUACCAUACUUUCUUUAUCCAGUCUGUUAUUCAUGGGCAUUUGGGUUGAUUCCAUGUCUUUGCUAUUGUAAAUAGUGCUGCGACGAACAUAUGUGUGCAUGUGUCUUUAUAAUAGAAUGAUUUAUCCUUUGGGAUGUAAUGGGAUUGCUGGGUCAAAUGGUAUUUUUGGUUCUAAAUCUUUGAGAAAUCACUAUAGUGGUUGAACUAAUUUACACUCCCACCAACAGUGUAAAAGCAUUCCUAUUUCUCCUCAAUCUUGCCAGCAUCUGUUAUUUCUUGAUUUUUGAAUAAUUGCCAUUCUGACUGGUGUGAGAUGGUAUCUCAUUGAGGUUUUGAUUUGCAUUUCUUUAGUGGUCAGCGAUGUUGAGCUUUUUUUCAUGUUUGUUGGCCACAUAUAUGUCUUUUUUUGAGAAAUGUCUGUUCAUACCCUUUGCCCACUUUUUGACAGGGUUGUUUGCUUUUUUCUUGUAAAUUUGGUUAAGUUCCUCAUAGAUUUUGAAUAUUAGACCUUUGUCGGAUGGAUAGUUGGCAAAAAUUUUCUUCCAUUCUGUAGGUUGUCUGUUCACUCUGAUGAUAGUCUCUUUUGUAGUGCAGAAGCUCUUUAGUUUAAUUAGAUCCCAUUUGUCAAUUUUUGCUUUUGUUAAAGUUGCUUUUGGCAAUUUCAUCAUAAAAUCUUUGCCUAGGCCUAUGUCCUAAAUGGCAUUGCCUAGAUUUUCUUCUAGGGUUUUUGUAGUUCUGGGUUUUACAUUUAAGUCUUUAAUCCAUCUUGAGUUAACUUUGAUAUAGGGUGUAAGGAAGGGAUCUAUUUUCAAUUUUCUACAUAUGGCUAACCAUUUCUCUCAGCACCAUUUAUUAAAUAGGGAGUCAUUUUCCCAUUGCUUGUUUUUGUCAGGUUUAUCAAAGAUCAGGUGGUUGUAAAUAUGCAGUUUUAUUUCUGAGUUCUCUAUUCUGUUCCAUUGGUUUAUGUGUCUGUUUUUUUUUAAAACCAGUACCAUACUGUUUUGGUUACUAUAGCUUUGUAGUAUAGUUUGAAGUUGGGUAGCAUGAUGCCUCCAGCUUAGUUCUUUUUGCUUAGGAUUGUCUUGGCUAUGUGAGCUCUUUUUUGGUUCCACAUGAACUUUAAAAUAGUUUUUUUCUAGUUCUGUGAAGAAUGUCAAUGGUAAUUUAAUGGGAAUAGCAUUGAAUCUCUAAAUUGCUUUGGGCAGUAUGGCCAUUUUUAUAAUAUUGAUUCUUCCCAUGUAUCUGCUUGUGUUCUCUCUGAUUUCCUUGAGCAGUAGUUUGGAGGUAUUUUAUUCUCUGUGGCAGUUGUGAAUGGGAGUUCAUUAAUGAUUUGGCUCUCCAUUUGCCUAUUGCUGUAUAGGAGUGUUUGUUAUUUCUGCACAUUGAUUUUGUAUCCUGAGACUUUGCUGAAGUUAAGAAGCUUUUGGACUGAGAAUGGGUUUUUCUAGAUAUAGGAUCAUGUCAUCUGCAAACAAAGACAAUUUGAUCUCCUCUCUUCCUAUUUGAAUACGCUUUAUUUCUUACUCUUGCUUAAUUGCCCUGGCCAGAACUUCCAACACUAUAUUGAAUAGGAGUGGUGAGAGAGGGCAUCCUUGUCUUGUGGGAGUUUUCAAGGGGAAUGCUUCCAGCUUUUGCCCAUUCAGUAUGAUAUUGCCUAUGAGUUUGUCAUAAAUGGCACUUACUAUCUUGAUCUGUGUUCCUUCAAUACUUAGUUUAUUGAGAGCUUUUAACAUGAAGCGAUGUUGAAUUUUAUUGAAGGUCUUUUCUGGAUCUAUUGAGAUAAUCAUAUGGUUUUUGUCUUUAGUUCUGUUUACCUGAAUUUAUUGAUUUGUGUAUGUUGAACCAACCUUGCAUCCUGGGGAUAAAGCUGUCUUGAUUGUGGUGGAUAAGUUUUUGAUGUGCUGCUGGAUUUGGCUUGCCAGUAUUUUAUUGAGGAUUUUUGCAUUGAUGUUCAUCAGGGAUAUUGGACUGAAGUUUUCUUUUCUUUCUUCCUUUUUUUUUUUUUUUUUUUUGGGUGUAUCUCUGCCAGGUUUUGGUAUCAGGAUGAUGCUGGUCUCAUAGAAUAAGUUAGGGAGGUUUUCCUCCUUUUCAAUUGUUUGGAAUCAUUUCAGAAGAAAUGGUACCAGCUAUUCUUUGUAGUUCUGGUAGAAUUCAGCUGUAAAUCUGUCUGGACCUGGGCUGUUUUUGGUUGGUAGACUGUUUAUUACUGCCUCAAUUUUAGAACUCAUUGUCUAUUCAGGGAUUCAGCUUCUUCCUGGUUCAGUCUUGAGAGGGUGUGUGUGUCUAGGAAGGUACCCAUUUCUUCUAGAUUUUCCAGUUUAUUUGUGUAGAGGUAUUUAUAGUAUUCUCUGAUGGUUGUUUGUAUUUCUGUGGGGUCAGUGGUGGUAUCCACCUUAUCAUUUCUGAUUAUGUUUAUUUGAAUCUUCUCCUUUUUCUUUUUUAUUAGUCUUAUAGGGUGAGGGGGAAGCUAUGAACAGGUAGAAGCCAUAGAAAUGAUAUUUCCUUAUCUCAUAUUAUGUGAAGAACAGUGCAUGAGCCCAUUUUCUCAUGGAUUGAUUCAUCUGUAACCAUUAAUAAGAAGCCCGCCAUUUUGUUUUGUAGUCCUCCCUUUCAUACUCAUCACUAAAAUAUUUGCUUCCAGGUUAGAAGUUUAGUCAAUAGAGAACAUAGAAUGGGAUUAAAUUUUAAACUUCUGGUUAAUACUGUGAUCUUGUUUUCUUAUGCUUUAGAAGAAGCAUCUUAUUGUUGCCUUUAUCCUUACUGUGAAAUAUGAAUCACUUCAAAAUUUAUACCAUUAAGAAUGAGAAUCAUGGCCAGGCGGCAGUGGCUCAUGCCUGGAGUCCCAGCACUCUGGGAGGCCAAGGCAGGCAGAUAACCUGACGUCAGGAGUUCAAGACCAGCCUGACUAACAUGGUAAAACCCCAUUUCUACUAAAAAUACAAAAAAUUAGCCAGGCGUGGUGUGGGCCUGUAAUCCCAGCUACUAGGGAGGCUGAGGCAGGAUAAUUGCUUGAACCUGGGAUGUGGACGUUGGAGUGAGCAGAGAUCACACCAUUGCACUCCAGCCUGGGCAACAAGAGUGAAACUCUGUCCCAAAAAAAAAAAAAAAACAAGAAUCAUUCAUUCAAUGACCCCUCAACUCACUCUAUAACAAAGCACCUAGUACUGGUAAAAUAAAUUGUUCCAAUCUGUUGUCUGUUUAAAAUUAUCCAAUGCCACCUUUCAUCUGUUACAUUGAGACCAAUAAUGAUAUAAAUGCAACAAAAUAAACCUUAUUUCUACACAGCCUUCCAGCACCAGUUAUCCAGGGUAGAAUACUAUUUUUUCUGCUAGGGUUUGGGUCUGUCCUAUAAAUUUCUUUAUUUAAUAUUUUUAAUGCCCCUUGAUCUUUUCUGUUUUCAAUUUUUUCUUGUCAAGACAUUUGCCUUCCAUUUCAAUACUUAGUAUUUACUUUACAACUAAUUCUAAUUUCUGCUAAUCAUCAUUUCUUGCUAAAUUUAAAAAACAUUAAAGAUUUAAUUUUGCUGUCCUCCUUUUAUCAUUUAUAAAAAUUUUGAAGCUGAUUUAAAUAAGAAUUCUAAAAAUAUUCUGUCAUACUGACUCAGAUCACUAUUUGACAUAAAUCAGGUGGUGACCUGGGCAUUCUCUCUUUGACGCCCUCCUUGAUCGUCCCCACCUGGCUCCUCCAUACCAUGCUCUUCUUUGUCCUUUACUGCCCUAUGCUCUGAGUCUGAUCCUUCACACUGCAUUUCCCAGGCUCCCUUGCCCUCUGGCUUCUGUUGGGGAUCAGCCAGUCGGGUACCAGCAGGAGUCUGGAGGGUAGGGAGACAGUGAGUUUAGGUAUGUGGUCUGACUGUGGCAGUGGGUUCCUAAGCCACAGAUCCUUUUAACCACUUCCAUAGCUCUAACUGUCACUGGAUCUGGUUAAUACUGUUUCCUUUCCCUUCCCUUUCUAGCCUAAAAGAGUUCAUGGUUUCCUGCUAUUGUCAGCCCCUGGGUGCCUUUUCAUCCCUUGAGGUUACCUUACACCCUGUCCACAGACAGUGCAGAGUUCUUUCAUUACAUUCUUCUCUGAUAAACUCUUUUGAGGGAAUGCUAUCUACCUUCUGUUGACACUACUUAAACAACAUAAUGGUUCAUGUUUUUAUUAUAAACAAUUUUAUAAAAUUUAACAGAAACUGCAUUUAUCAGUUUAUCAGGAACACUAAAAAUAUACAUUUUAAGGUAAUUGUUUAUUAAACUAUAACAAGGUUUCUAGCAAUUUUAGAUUGAAUUUGAUGCUCCCAAACUGCUUUAGAUUCAUGCCAUAAUUAUAAAUUAAAUUUUUGUUUCAGACUUUGCUAUAACUGUGGUAAUUUAAAAAAAAUCCACACUCAAAAUGAGGCAAGUGUCUGUUGACCAAAGAGAAAAUAACUUUCCAGUGUGUAACAUGAAUUUUAAAACAGAGAAGUUGCUCCCACAAUAGAAUUGAUGUUCCCAUGAUACCACCUUUAGACAGGAAAAAAUAAAACUAAAUUGAUGUCUCCUUUCAGGUAUAGAUAUUGGAACCUUAAAGAAGUUAUAGAAUUACAACUUUUGUCUUCACCUGGACCAUAAAUUAAGGUGACAUUGGCUUUUUUGUUUUUGAAACAGAGUCUCAUUCUGUUGCCCAGGCUGGAGUGCAAUGGUGUGAUCUCAGCUCACUGCAACCUCCACCUACCGGGUUUAAGAACUUCUCCUGCCUCAGCCUCCCAAGUAGCUGGGAUUACAGGUGCCUGCCACCACUCCUGGCUAAUUUUUGUAUUUUUAGUGGAGACAGACUUCCACCAUGUUGGUCAGGUUGGUCUUGAACUGCUGAUCUCAUGAUUUGCCUGCCUUGGCCUCCCAAAGUGCUGGGAUUAUAAGCAUGAGCCACCAUACCUGGCCUAAUAUUGGCUUUUGAAUACCCAUUUUCCUCAUAUAACAAUUAAGAAAUUUACAUCAAACCAAAGCUCUGCUUAAAAAAUAUUUUUCUGAGACAAAGUCUUCCUGUUCAUCUGUGAAUCUUAUUUGGUAUAAUGGAGUCAUUUCUUUUUUCUUUCUUUUUUUUUUAGGGAGGGAAGGAGGGAAGGAUGAAGGGAGGAAGGCAGGAAGGGAGGGAAGGAGGAAGGGAGGGAGGAAGGGAUGAAGGAAAGAAGGGAGAAAGGUGGGGAGGGAGGGAGGGAGGGAAGGGAAGGGGAAGGCAAGGGGAAGGGAAGAGGAAGGGAGGAAGGAAGGAAUUCAAGCAAUGAGAGAGACAUUGCCAACCUGGAUCUAGAGGUUUACAAGUUGAUUUCUAUUUUUGAGAGAAGGAAAGAAAAAAAAUGAGUAAAGGAGAGAAAGAAAGAGGAAGAGAGAGAGGGAGGGUGAAUGGAAAUAUUGCUUUAUUCUGAAAAAAAAAUGGGUAUUAAUAAUGACCAAUCAAUGUUUCAUUUAAAACUAUGAGUAGGUGUGAUGUGGUAUUGACAAGAAUGUAUAUUUUAUGUAUUUGAAGUGGAGCGCUCUAUAAAUAUUUAUUAAGUUUACUUGUUCCGGAUCUGAGUUUGAGUCCUUGAUAUCCUUAUUAAUUUUCUGUCUCAUUGAAUCUAAGUCUCUAUGUAUCUGGGUGUUAGGAUCGUUAGCUCUUGUUGUAUUGAUCCUUUUACCACUAUAUCUUUGUUGCUUUAAAAUCUAUUUUAUCUGCUACAAGAAUUGCAACUCCUGCUUUUUAUUUAUUUAUUUAUUUAUUUUUGCUCUCCAUUUGGUUGGUAAAUCUUUCUCCAUUUCUUUGUUUUGAGUCUUUGUGUAUCCUUGCAUGUGAAACAGGUCUGGAUGUAACAUGCCGUUGGGUUUUGGCUGUGUCUUUUGAUUGGGGAUUUAGUCAAUUUAAAUUUAGGGUUACUGCCAUUUGAUGUUAACUGGCUGUUCGAUCCAUUCGUUGAUGAAAAUUCUUCUUUAUGUUGGUGCUCUUUACUUUUUGGUAUAUUUUUAGAAAGGCUAAUACUGGUUGUUUCUUUCUGUGUGUAAUGCCUCUUUCAGAAGCUCUUGUAAAGCAGGCCUGGUGGUAAUUAAAUCUCUGAGUACUUGCUUGUUCAUAAAAGAUUUUAUUUUUCCUUCAGUUGUGAAGCUUAGUUUGGCUGGAUAUGAAAUUCUGGGCUGGAGGUUCUGUUCUUUGAGGAUGUUGAAUAUUGGCCCCAUUCUCUUCUGGCUUGUAGAGUUUCUGCUGAGAGAUCUGCUGUAAGUCUGAUAGGCUUGCCUUUGUGGGUAACCUGACCUUUCUCUCUGGCUGCCCUUAGUAUUUUCUCCUUCCUUUCAACCCUGGUGAAUCUAACAAUUAUGUGCCUUGGGGUUGCUCUUCUUGCAGAAUAUCUUUGUGGUGUUCUCUGUAUUACCUGGGGUUGAAUAUUGACCUGCUUUGCUAGUCAUUUCUAAUCGUUCUCUGUGUUACAGGCCAUAGAACUGUGCUAGAGGUUAACAGUGUUAUUACAAAUUCCCUGUAUUGCUUGAUUAAGCUUUCUUGUUUGUACUGUUGUAUAUUUACCUCAUAAAUGCCAUGUAACACAUAAUAGUGUUGUUAGACAAAGUUUUAAUGUGAACAAAUUAAUGUGGUUUUCUAGAAAAGUAUAAUCUAAUCUAUAUAUUUUUUUCUAGCCCAUCUUGUAUUUAAACUCCUUGUUGCCUUUCUUAUUUCUUUAUGUCUUUGAUGGACUUCCAGUAGUUUCUAUGACUAGAGCUUAUAGUGAUGUGUCUUGUGCAGACUGGGUAAUGGAACACUUAAGCUUGUAUACUUGAAAAUGACAGCCUUAAAUGGUCAUAUCAGCCACAUGCCCCCCAAAAAUAAUAGUAAUAAUUAAGGCCAGCAAUAGCAGUUAUUUUUUCUUAAAAAAUAAAAGUUUAAAGUAAAAAUAUUAUUUUAUUAUUUUUAAGCCAGCUGUCUUAAGAUCUUACCUAACUUAGUUUCUGGGGUUUUUGAGGGUAAUGUUUCCCAACACCCCACUUCUCCUGUGCUUAUCCUUACACUUAGGCAUGAAUUUGCAAAGCAAUGCCUCAGAAUGUUUCUGGAAAAGUAUGUUAGAAUUACAUCAUAUGGCUGAAUAGCAGUGUAGUUGAAUAUGUUGGGCUUUUAAAAUUUGUGUCUUUACAUUUGUUUGUGUUAAGGAUAGAACCCCAAAGAGAAUAAUACUGGAUUAUUUAUUAAAUGUUUAUUAAACAAUAACAAUACACCAGCCUCUGUACUAUUCAAUGAAGAUAUAAAGAUGAAAAUAUAAGGUCGAGUACUUUUAUAAUAUUUAUAUGUUCUGAUGGUUCAAAUUAUUUUACACAGUGCUUUUCUUAGAAGAAGAAAUAUUUGGAUGAUGUUCACUAAACAAAAAUUUUGUGUUAUCUUUGAAUCUGUUUGGUAGGUUUAUGAUGUUAGUUUUAAAUUCCUGGUUAGGUUUAGUUCAAGUAUAUUUACCAAAGACAAAUUAGCAAUACAGGGACCAUCAGGUUAGGGAUUUAUUUCAUUAUGGUAGUAGGAUUAUGUCAUUUGGAAUCAGAAUUUAUUUUACACUUGUUCUAUUUUUAAAUCAUUGUACAUGACUUAAAUGUCAAAUUAUAAUGUAAAAUAAUUAUUUUCAGUUAUGCACCCCAAAAUUUGAAGCCACAUUUAUUUUGAGGGAAUUUUGAAUGUGAAGACCUCAGAGUAUUAGAAGUUAUACUGACUGGGGAUUAUGUGUAAUUUUCCUCUCUUGGAAAAUCUAUCUGUGAUUAUAUGUUUUCUUUUUAAUGUACAGAAACAAGUAAAAACACAAUGAGAGCUGUAGCUGUAGACCCUGUACUAUAAUAUUAGUAACUGCUAAUCUACUCACAAAUUUUGGUGAAUUUUUUUGUGCAUAUUACAGUAAAAAUUACUACCACCACCAUAAGAGUUGAUUGGAAUUACAUAUUUAUUUUAUUUUAUUUUAUUUUUGAGAUAGAGUCUCACUCUGUCACCCAGACUGGAGUGCAGUGGUACAAUCUCGGAUUACUGCAACCUCUGCCUUCAGGUUCAAGUGAUUCUCCUGCCUCAGCUUCCUGAGUAGGUGGGACUCCAGGCAUGCAUCAGCAAGCCUGGCUAAUUUUUGGUAUUUUUAGUAGAGACAGGGUUUAGCCAUGUUGGCCCAGCUGGUCUCGAAAUCCUGACCUCAAGUGCAUCCACCCACCUCAGCCUCCCAAUUUGCUGGGAUUACAGGCAUGAGCCACCAUGCCUGGCCUGUAUAUUUUAAUUCCAUAUUUUGCUUAUAUUUUUAAUAUUUAAGCAUUUGCAUAAUUAAAGACAUUACUGUACUUACAAGUAAGGGAAAUUCUAUUAGGUUAGAUCUUUUAAAACCUCUAAAAAUUAAUUCAUUUUUAAGUAACAGUUUGUUGCUGUGUACCUUUAAUAAAUACAACAAUUAGAGGUUUCAUAUUCAAGAACUGUCACUUGCAAGGACUGGAUACCCUAAAAAUUCACAACUCUAAAGAAAAGGGAAAAAAAUCUGCCUAUUGAGCCAUAUAAAAGGGAAGAACAAGUAACCUUCAGACAGAAAUGGUAUAAGGUGAAAUAAUGAUGGCAAGGAUUUUGUUUUCUUCAUAUAUUUUAUUAGGAGAAAGACUACUGUAGGAAAGGGAAAAUUGCUUCUGUGUGCCCUUCUUGAUUUUUUUGGCUGGUCUAUGAAUUAAAUUGAAAUUAGACAGAUUAAAAGGAGAAAAACCAUUUUAAUUACUACAUAUGCACAGGAAUCCCACCAAAAUAUAAGACUCCAGGAAGCAGCCAGAUGAUUGAGACAGAUACCAUCUUAAGCUAGAGUAAGGAAUAGAAAUAAUAAUUUGGGGGUGCUGGGGAGUGGUAGAGACAUUGUGGGAACACAAAAGGAGGAAGUAAGUGGUGAAUAAAGGUUACCUUGCUAUGUAGAUAAAAGUCUCUUCAGUGAUAAAAAGUUAUCUAUAAGUAACUCUCUUUCUGGCAAAGAUAGAUAUAUUUGCUAAUAUGAAUUUCCUCUACAAAUGAGAAAUUAUACUUUAUUUUAAGCAGAUGGGGAGGCGAAGUACUUUUUCUGCUUUGACUUGUUCUCAGUUUCUUUUAGUUAAAAAUAAUACAUCAAAGUGGCAUAUUUUGGGAUGACUUGUUCUGACCCCAUCACUACUUGGUGGGAAGAUACUACCCAGCAUUAUAAUAUCAUGUGGUACUUUCUUUUAAAAAGUGUUUAAACAUGAUAAAAUUUCCUCAAAGCUUUAUGAUGUAAAAUGAGGUAUCUCAGAUAUGGACUUCUCCAGUGAGAGGAUCCCAAAGGCUUUAUACCCUUCAUGUUCUAUUGUGGGUUGGGGUGCAGUGGAGAAGAAAUGCUAGCGUAUUUGUAGCUUUAUCAAAUUGAAAACUCAGAGUAUCUAAUUAUUACUCAGAAAUCAAAUUGUUGUCCAUGGACUUCCUUCUUCACAGCGAUUCAAAGCACUUGCUGCAAAAAGGGAAGAUCACAGCUUGCUUUUCUGUUUUCCUUCCUCCAAGCAAAAUCUUGUGUCACUUGUUUCCCUUAACAGAAUUAACUUAUCUCCUUGGAUUGCUUGUCAUUGUUUUUAUGUAGUUCAGUAACUAUUAAGUACUUUUCAUCUGUGAUUAAAAUCAUACUACUUCUGGAGGGUCUCUGGCGUGUUUCAGUCCUAUGACUGAGCAGCAUGUUUCUCAUCUUCCUAAAUCUGGGCAGCAAAGCACUGCUGGAAGGUAACCCACCCCUAAUAUUUCUUCUUUGGGGGUUGGUGAGCAGUAAGGGUGAAACUGCUGCCCUAUCAGCUUGCCCAGAGUCACAAAGAGAACCUCACACUUGGAAGGGACCUUAUUUGUUGUCUGCUCCCGUUUUACUGUUUAUCCACUGAUGUCCUAAUCUACCUGCUGUAGUCCUUGGUGUGGUUCAGGCUUUGCUCUACCCAUCCAUUCAGAUUUGGGCACCAAGCUACAAAAUUCAUAUUUGCACAGAUCUCAGCAAUGUCCUCCUUCCGGUUCUAUGCCUCCUGGUUCUAGUCUUGAAAAAAAAGAAAAUGAGGAGAUGAAAGUGACCGGCAUUCUCAGGGCUGCCUCAAAGCUAGAGAUAGAGAAGAGGAAGAAGCUCACAAACUUGAGUGUGCUGAGCACAGCUGACACCAAGGCCAGCCAGUGUGCCCUGUAUUCUUAUGCUCUGUAAAUUCAGGGACCUGAGGGCAGCACCUGGGACAGCUGCUUGCAGUGUUCUCGCAUUCUGCUUUUUCCUGAGCCACAGUGUACAUGUUUAGGCAGAGGCCUUCAAGCCACUGACCAUUGUUUGCUUGCUUGCUCUCUUCCUCCUUCCCUCCUCUCCUCCCUCCCUUUUCUUCCUUCUUUCCUCCAUUUCUUCCUCCCUCCCGCCAUCCCUUCUUUCUUUCUGUCCCUCCCUCCCUCCAUCCCUUCUUUCUUUCUGUCCCUCCCUCCUGCCUUCCUUCCCUCUUUCCUUUCUUCUUUCAAUAAAUAUUUGAUGAACACCUAUCUAAGGUGAUCAGGAUACAGAAUGGAACUCAGUCACUACUCAUACAGCCUACAUUUAGUAGAAAUGACCAACAGUACCUAAAGAAAUACACAGUGUAAGUCGAGCUAAGUGCUGUGAUGAACACUAAAACUGGAUGAAGAAAUUAGCUAAGAGCUGUCUUUGGGAGAGAAGUACUUCAAUAGAAACCUGAAUAAAGUGAGGGGAAAGCCAUAGGCAAGAUGAGGGUAGUAAGAACGCUUACUUCUUUGAUUUUACGUGGAAGAAAGUCCAUGAGCUCAUUUCCUAAUAGGCUGGUUCUAUCCAUUGCUAGUAAUAGGAAGCCUACAGUUUUGUUUUGUAGUCUUCACAUUCAUACUCACCACUGAAGUAUUUGCUUCCAGCAUCAAAAUUUACUCAUAAGAAAAAAAUAAGAUUGGAAUUUAAUUUAAACUUUUGGUUAAAACUGUGCUUUUCAAAAAUUCUGCUUUAGUAGAAUAGUCUUAUGUUUGCCUUUAUUUUUACUGUGAAAUAUGAAUCACAUUGAAAUGUAUAAUUUUAAGAUGAGAAUCAUUUUGUGAUUCUUCAAUUCACUGAAAAUGAAGUGCCUAACUUUGAUGAGAUAAAUUGUUCCAGUCUUUGUUGUAGUUGUAGAUUUACCCAUAGCUGGCUUCCAUCUGUUACAUUCAGAUGAUAAUGAUAAAAUGUGUCAUUUCUACCCAAUCUUCCAGCACCGACUAGCUAGAAGAAAAACUAUUUUUCUGCUAGGUUUUUGCCCUUCUUAAAAAAAGUCUUUAGUAGUUUCAAAUGCCCUCUGGAUAUGAAGAGCCUUUAAAUGCAACACUAAAAACAACUUUUCAUAUGUGAAAAUGUUUUAUUUAAAUUAUUCUGUUGUGGCCCAGCAUGGUGGCUCACGCCUGUAAUCCCAGCACUUUGGGAUUACAGGCGUGAGGUGGGUGGAUCACCUGAUGUCAGGAAUUUGAGACCAGCCUGGCCAACAUAGUGAAACCCCACCCCUAUUAAAAGUAUAAAAAUUAGCUGGGUGUCGUGGUGUGUGCCUGUAGUUCCAGUUAUCCGGGAGGCUGAGGCAGGAGAAUCCUUGAACCUGGGAGGUGGAGGUUGCACUGAGCCAAGAUUGUGCCACCUUAAUUCCAGUUUGAGUGACAGAGUGAGACUUUGCCUCAAAAAAGAAAAAAAGUGUUAAGUUAGAGGAUGAACCCUAAUGUAUUUCUUAAUGGUAUUCAAUCAAAGUUUUAAAAUCCACCUUUUUUGUCAAUGUUUACUUAAAAAUGCCUUGGAAAAAUGAAAAUAUGCAAAUUAGGAUUAAGAAACUACAUCUUGAUUUGGUUCUUUUUGCCUGUUUCAAGAGACAGGCUUCCAAUUUAUUAUGCUGUCCCAUAGGUCAGUGGAUAAAAGAAAAUGCCAGGACAAGCAGUGAAUAUUGUUAUACAAAGGAAUUUACACUGUUUAAAGAUGUUCUUAAGUUUAAUGCUUCUUUCACCUGCUUAUUUAUUAUCUUCUACUACAUGAGUUCUUCAUACUUUCUUACUUCAUAAGGAAAUGCUACUCUUAUUUCUUAAUGAGCCUUGCUUCAUAAUUGUGCAAAGUUAUUUACACAGAAAGAUGGUCAGAACUACUCUCCAGGAUUUCAGUGAUUUCUGGAUUGAAGUCCAGAUUUGAAGUACCAGUAAUUGACUGAGUUGCUUGCUUGCCAGUUAUUGUAAAUAAACUAAUAUAAUGCCUCAGACUAAUAAUGUCAUAGAGAAGAUUCAUUUUUUUAUUUUCAUAUAUCUGUAGCAUAUAUCAGUAACUUUACCCAAACCCUAAUAAAGUUUGUCAUCUUAAUGUAUUUGUACAUGAACUUAACUACCACUAGUUCUCAAGUACUUCUCUUGAAAAUUGUAAAACCCCAAUUGUAUAUUACACCUAUUUGAAGAUAAUCUGUUUGAAGAUAAUCUUUCAUUAAGUUUUUUUUUUCCUUUGCAAAGUCUUUUCAUCACUAGGAAAAUCCAAGUGUAAUGUUUUGAGUGUAAGGUUCCAUUGUCUUAAUGCCUUCUAAUAAAUUGUAAAACAAAAAAAUUGGAAUGUUUCAAGAUAGCAUGGGUAGCCUUGCUGCAAAGCCUUGCAGAAUAGGGGCUUCUCUAUCCCCUUCCCUCACCCUCGUUGCCUUCACAGAGGCUCCAUUGCAGUCAGCUUCUAUUUGGCUUGCUGUUUGGAAACAGUUUCACUGUAGUCUAUCUUGAGCAAAAAGAGAGUUAAUAAAAAAACAGACAUGUUUGAAUUAGUGAUAGAGGGAACUAUGGUGAAUUUUGUUUAUAGCAUCCAAUAUUUGAACUUUUUCCUAAAUGAAAAGUUAUAUUAAAAAAAACUUCUCAUAAAAAAGUCCUGAAGGGAAGUUUCAUUCAGUUUAUGUUUUCUCCCUCGUUACUUCACUACAUCUGAGACACUCGUCUUGUUCUUUUCUCAAUGGCUGUGUUAGAAACUAGUAAAUAUGUCUUGCUUCCUCUGCCUUCCCUGCUGAUCCUCAGUUGAUCAGGAAGUCAAAUAGGCUUCCUGCUUUUGCUUCCCAGGAAUUAAAAAAAUCUUAGUCACAACAUCAAAACGUCUAGGUCAUUUGGCCUUUGAAACUUUCACUUCCCAAAGGUUACUUGUAAUGAACGUGUUAAUAGUUCCUUAGGAAAGGGAUCUGUAUGAAACUUGGUGUUAAUAAUAAAAGUAGCAACACUAGAUAGAAUGCUGGGCUAGGGAGAUGGUUAUUUCUAGAGAUUCACCAACUGAAGGAGAAUGUAUCGCACUAUACAGUGCUGUUCUUCCCAGGUCGUCUAACAUCUGGGUAUAGUUUUCAGUAUUCAUUUCCAGGGAGGCACAGAUUUGUAUUUGGUUGGCCUUUUUCUUAUUGUCAGUUUUAAAAAUCUUUAAAAUGAAAAUCACUUCUCUUUGGAAUCAACACAGAAAAAAUAGUAGCUCAACUUUCAAUCAGCAAAUGGUUAGAUAUUGUUAGAAAGAAAUUACUUAAUUCCUUGAGUUAGCACGUUCUUAUUCCCAGCUUAUUUUUUAAAAAUAGAAACCUCAGCAAAAACUACAAACUAGUCCCAAUGGAUUCAGAAUUUCUGAACAAUGGAUUCAGAAUUUCUGAAUCCAAAAGAUUGAAAAUAAGCAGCACAGCUCAUUUCCUUACCAAUAGGUAAGAAAAAAAUUAAGAUUGUUAAUUCUCUUGUUCUGUGAUUCUCUUUGAGACGGUCCACAUCUGUUGCUGAUUAAAAAGAUUAAUAUUGAGAGACCUUACUAAAUUAUAGAAGAAACUUCUCUGAGAGGUAUAGUAAUAAGAAAUUGCUGUUAGAUUUACACUUACCAUAUUGGGGUUAUAUAGCAUCAUUUAACUGCUAAAGCUAUUUUUUUUAAUCCACAUAUUUCUUUUUUUUUUUUUUUUUUUUGAGAUGGGGUUUCACUGUUGUUACCCAGACUGGAGUGCAAUGGUACAAUCUCGGCUCACCGCAACGUCCGCCUUCUGGGUUCAAGCAAUUCUCCAGCCUCAUUCUCCCGAAUAGCUGGGACUACAGGUUUUGGAGUACAUGUGAAGAACAUGGAAGAUUGUUGCAUAAGUACACACGUGGCAGUGUGAUUUGCUGCCUUCCUCCCCUUCACCUAUAUCUAGCAUUUCUCCUCAUGCUAUCUCUCCCUAACUCCCCACCCCGCGCUGACCCUCCUCUAUUCCCCCCAACAGACCCCAGUGUAUAGUGCUCCCCUCCCUGUGUCCAUGUGUUCUCAUUGUUCAACACCUGCCAAUGAGUGAGAACAUGCAGUAUUUCAUUUUCUGUUCUUGUAUCAGUUUGCUGAGAAUGAUGGUCUCCAGGUUCAUCCAUGUCCCUACAAAGGACACAAACUCAUCGUUUUUGAUGUCUGCAUAAUAUUCCAUGGUGUAUAUGUGCCACAUUUUCCCUAUCCAGCCUGUCAUCAAUGGGCAUUUGGGUUGGUUCCAGGUCUUUGCUAUUGUAAACAGUUCUGCAAUGAACAUUUGUGUGCAUGUGUCCUUAUAGUAGAAUGAUUUAUAAUCCUUUGGAUAUAUACCCAGUAAUGGGAUUGCUGGGUCAAAUGGAAUUUCUAUUUUUAGGUCGUUGAGGAAUCACCACACUGUCUUCCACAAUGGUUGAACUAAUUUACACUCCCACCAGCAGUGUAAGAGGGUUCCUAUUUCUCCACAUCCUCUCCGGCCUCUGUUGUUUCCAGAUUUUUUAAUGAUCACCAUAUUAACUGGUGUGACAUGGUAUCUCAAUGUAGUUUUGAUUUGUGUUUCUCUAAAGACCAGUGAGGAUGAGCAUUUUUUCAUAUGUUUGUUGGCCUCAUGUAUGUCUUCUUUUGUAAAGUGUCUGUUCAUAUCCUUUGCCCACUUUUGAAUGGGCUUGUUUGUUUUGUUCUUGUAAAUCUGUUUUAGUUCUUUGUAAAUUCUAGAUAUCAGCCCUUUGUCAGAUGGGUAAACUGCAAAAAUUUUUCCUAUUCUGUUGGUUGCUGAUUCACUCUAAUGACUGUUUCUUUUGCUGUGCAGAAGCUGUGGAGUUUGAUUAGGUCCCGUUUGUCUAUUUUGGCUUUUGUUGCCAAUGCUUUUGGUAUUUUGGUUAUGGAGUCCUUGCCUGCUCUUAUGUCCUGAAUGGUUUUGCCUAGAUUUUCUUCUAGGGUUUUUAUGGUGUUAGGUCUUAUGUUUAAGUCUUUAAUCCAUCUGGAGUUAAUUUUAGUAUAAGGUGUCAGGAAGGGGUCCAGUUUCUGCUUUCUGCACAUGGCUACCCAGUUUUCCCAACACCAUUUAUUAAACAAGGAAUCCUUUCCCCAUUGCUUGUUUUUGCCAGGUUUGUCAAAGAUCGGAUGGUUGUAGUUAUGUUGUGUUGCCUCCAAGGCGUCUGUUCUGUUCCAUUGGUCUAUAUCUCUGUUUUGGUACUAGUACCAUGCUGUUUUGAUUACUGUAGCCUUGUAGUAUAGUUUGAAGUCUGGUAGUGUGAUGCCUCCUACUUUGUUCUUUUUGAUUAGAAUUGACUUGGCUAUGCGGGCUCUCAUUUGGUUACAUAUGAAGUUUAAGGUGUUUUUUUCCAGUUCUGUGAAGAAGGUCAUUGGUAGCUUGAUGGGGAUAGCGUUGAAUCUGUAAGUUACUUUGUGCAGUAUGGCCAUUUUCACGAUAUUGAUUCUUCCUAACCAUGAACAUGGAAUGUUUCUCCAUCUGUUUGUGUCCUCUCUUAUUUCAUUGAGCAGUGGUUUGUAGUUUUCCUUGAAGAGGUCCUUUACAUUCCUUGUGAGUUGUAUUCCUAGGUAUUUUAUUCUCUUUGUAGCAAUUGUGAAUGGCAGUUCGUUCUUGAUUUGGCUCUCUUUAAAUCUGUUAUUGGUGUAUAGGAAUGCUUGUGAUUUUUGUACAUUGAUUUUGUAUCCUGAGACUUUGCUGAAUUUGCUUAUCAGUUUCAGGAGAUUUUGUCCUGAGACGACGGGGUCUUCUAGAUUUACAAUCAUGUUGCCUGCAAAUAGAGACAAUUUGGCUUCCUCCUUUCCUAUUUGAAUACCCUUUAUUUCUUGUUCUUGCGUGAUUGCUCUGGCUAGAAAUUCCAGUACUAUAUCGAAUAGAAGUGGUGAGAGAGGGCAUCCUUGUCUAGUGCCAGAUAUCAAAGGGAAUGCUUCCAGUUUUUGCCCAUUCAAUAAGAUAUUGGCUGUUGGUUUGUCAUAAAUAGCUUUUAUUAUUUUGAAAUAUGUUCCAUCAAUACCUAGUUUAUUGAGGGUUUCUAGCAUAAAGAGCUGUUGAAUUUUGUCAAAGGCCUUCUCUGCAUCAAUUGAGAUAAUCAUGUGGUUUUUGUCUUUGGUUCUGUUUAUGUGGUGAAUUACUUUUACAGACUUGCAUAUGUUUAACCAGCCUUGCAUCCCCAGCAUGAAUCCUACUUGAUCAUGGUGGAAAAGCUUUUUGAUGUGCAGUUGCAAUUGGUUUGCCAGUAUUUUCUUGAAGAUUUUUGCGUCUGUGUUCAUCAUGGAUAUUGGCCUGAAGUUUUCUUUUCUUGUUGAAUUUCUGCUGGGUUUUGGUAUCAGGAUGAUAUUGGUCUCAUAAAAUGAUUUGAGAAGGAUUCCCUCUUUUUGGAUUAUUUGGAAUAGUUUCAGAAGGAAUGGUACCAGCUCCUUUUUGUAUGUCUGGUAGAAUUCGGCUGUGAACCCAUCUGGACCUGGGCUUUUUCUGGGUGGUAGGCUCUUAAUUGCUGCCUCAACCUCAGAUCUUGUUAUUGAUCUCUUCAGGGUUUCGAUUUCUUCCUGGUUUAGGCUUGGGAGGAUGCAAGUGUCCAGGAAUUUAUCCAUUUCUUCCAGGUUUACUAGUUUAUGUGCAUAGAGUUGUUUGUAAUAAUCUCUGAUGAUGGUUUGAAUUUCUGUGGAAUCUGUGGUGAUAUCCCCUUUAUCGUUUUUUAUUGCAUCUAUUUGGUUAUUCUCUCUUUUCUUUUUUAUUAAUCUGGCUAGAGGUCUGUCUAUUUUGUUGACCUGUUUUAAAAACCAGCUCUUGGAUUUAUUGAUUUUUUGAAGGGUUUUUUUGUGUCUCUAUCUCCAUCAGUUCUGCUCUGAUCUUAGUUAUUUCUUGUCUUCUACUAGGUUUUGAGUUUUUUUGAUCUUGCUCCUCUAGCUCUUUCAAUUUUGACAAUAGGGUGUCAAUUUUGGAUGUUUCCUUGCUUCUCAUGUGGGCACUUAUUGCUAUAUAUUUUCCCCUAGAGACUGCUUUCAAUGUGUUUCUGAGAUUCUGGGUAUGUUGUGUCUUUGUUCUUGUUGGUUUCAAAGAACAUCUUUAUUUCUGCCUUCAUUUCAUUGUUCAUCCAGUCAACAUUCAAGAACCCGUUGUUCAGUUUCCAUGAAACUGUGUGGUUCUGAGUUAGUUUCUGAAUUCUGAGUUCUCACUUGAUUGCACUAUGGUCUGAAAGAUUGUUUGUUAUGAUUUCCGUUCUUUUGCAUUUGCUGAGGAGUGAUUUACUUCCAAGUAUGUGAUCAAUUUUAGAGUAGGUGUGAUGUGGUGCUGAGAAGAAUGUAUAUUCUGUGGAUUUGGGGUGGAGAGUUCUGUAAAUGUCUAUCAGGUUUGCUUGUUCCAGGUCUGCGUUCAAGUCCUGGAUAUCCUUGUUAAUUUUCUGUCCAGUUGAUCUGUCUAAUAUUGACAAUGGGGUGUUAAAGUCUCCCACUAUUACUUUUUGUAAGUCAUUAAGAACUUGCCUUAUGUAUCUGGGUGCUCCUGUAUUGGGUGAGUAUAUAUUUAGGAUCGUUAGCUCUUCUUGUUGCAUCGAUCCUUUUACCAUUAUGUAAUGUCCUUCUUUGUCUCUUUUGAUCUUUGUUGCUUUAAAGUCUAUUUUAUCAGAGACGAGAAUUGCAACUCCUGCUUUUAUUUGCUCUCCAUUUGCUUGGCAAAUCUUCCUCCAUCCCUUUAUUUUGAGCCUUUGUGUAUCCUUGCAUGUGAGAUGGGUUUCCUGGAUAUAGCACACCAAUGGGUUUUGGCUUUUUAUCCAAUUAGCCAGUCUGUGUCUUUUGAUUGGGACAUUUAGUCCAUUUACAUUUAGGGUUAAUAUUGUUAUGUGUGAAUUUGAUCCUGCCAUUUUGAUGCUAGCCAGCUGUUUUGCUUGUUAGUUGAUGCAGAUUCUUCAUUUUGUUGAUGUUCUUUACCAUUUGGUAUGUUUUUUGGAGUGGCUAGUACUGUUUGUUCCUUUCUAUAUGUAGUGCCUCUUUCAGGAGCUCUUAUAAAGCAGGCCUGGUGGUGACAAAAUUUCUGAGUACUUACUUAUUCGCAAGUACUUAUGAAGCUUAGUUUGGCUGGAUAUGAAAUUCUUGGUUGAAAGUUCUUUUCUUUAAGGAUGUUGAAUAUUGGCCCCCACUCUCUUCUGGCUUGUAGGGUUUCUGCUGAGAGAUCUGCUGUGAGUCUGAUGGGCUUCCCUUUGUGGGUAACCUGACCUUUCUCUCUGGCUGCCCUUAGGAUUUUUUCCUUCAUUUCGACCCUGGUGAAUCUGACAAUUAUGUGCCUUGGGGUUGCUCUUCUUGAGGAAUAUCUUUGUGGUGUUCUCCGUAUUUCCUGGAGUUGAAUAUUGGCCUGCCUUGCUAGGUUGGGGAAGUUUUCCUGGAUAAUAUCCUGAAGAGUGUUUUCCAGCUUGGAUUCUUUCUCUUCGUCACAUUCAGGUAUCCCUAUCAAACGCAGAUUAGGUCUUUUCACAUAAUCCCAUAUUUCUUGCAGACUUUGUUCGUUCCUUUUUAUGCUUUUUUUCUCUAAUCUUGCCUUCUUGUUUUAUUACAUUGAGUUGAUCUUCAACCUCUGGUAUCCUUUCUUCUGCUUGGUCAAUUCAGCUGUUGAAACUUGUGCAUGCUUCGUGAAGUUCUCGUGUUGUGUUUUUCAGUUCCAUCUAUUCACUUAUAUUCCUCUCUAUGUUGUCCAUUCUCAUUAGCAUUUCAUCAAAUCUUUUUUCAAGGUUCUUAGUUUCUUUGCAUUUUGUUAGCUCACAGAAGUUUCUCGUUACCCACCUUCUGAAGUCUGAUUCUGUCAUUUCAUCACACUCAUUCUCCAUCCUGCCUUGUUCCCUUGCUGGUGAGAAGUUGUGAGCCCUUGGAGGAGGAGAGGUGUUCUGGUUUUGGGUGUUUUCCUCCUUUUUGCACUGGUUUCUUCCCAUCUUUGUGGGUUUAUUCACCUGUCGUCUUUGUAGUUGCUGAUUUUCAGAUUGGGUCUCUGAGUGGACAUCCAGUUUGUUGAUGAUGAAGUUUUUUCUGUUUCUUAGUUAACCUUCUAACAGUCUGGCCCCUCGGCUGUAGGACUGCUGAGGUCCACUCCAGGCCCUGCUUGCCUGGGGAUCACCUGCAGCAGCUGCCGAACAGUAAGGGUUGCUGACAGUUUCUUCUUCUGCUAUCUUUGCCCGAGAAUGAUGCCCGCCAAAUGUCAGUCUGAUCGGUCCUUUGUGAGGUGACGCUAUGGGGGUCAGGGAGCUGCUUGAGGAGACAGUCUGUCCUUUAUAGGAGCUCAAGUGCUGAGCUGUGAGCUCCGUUGUUCAUUCAGAGCUGCUGGGCAGGUACGUUUAAGUCAGCUGCAACAGAACUCAUAAACCCUUUUUUUUUCCCCAGGUGCUCUGUCCUGGGGAGUUAGGGCUUUAUUUAUGAGUUUCCAUUGUGCUGCUGCCUUUUUUAUCAGGGCUGCCCUGCCCAGCAAGGAGCCAACCUAGUCACUGUCUGCCUGUAGAAGCUUUGCUGAGUUGCUGUGGGCUCCACCCUGCUGCCAUGUGAACUUCUCUGCAGUCCUGUUUAUAUGGGUAUGAUUAAAACUGCCUCUGCAAUGGUGGCCCACCUCUGUAAUGGCAGACUCUCUCUGUAAUGGCAGGUUGCCUCAGCAAUGGCGGGCUGCCUCAGCAACGGUGGGCUGCCUCAGCAAUGGUGGACUACCUCCAUAGGGGUGGAGUGCCUCGUUAAUGAUGAAUGCCCCUCCCCCAAGAGCUGGACUGUCCUGGGUUCAGCUGUGCUUGCUGUGAAACUCUCAAUCCAGAGCGGUUCCAAUGGCUUUUUUUGUUUGUGUCAUUUUUGUGGGAGUGGGACCCACCAAGCCUGAUCACCUGGCUCCCUGUCUCAGAUCCUUUUUUUUUUUUAAGUUGAAUGGUUGACUUUCUCCCAGGUGUUCCAGUCACCUGCUGAAAAGGCACCAGGAUCUGUGUGGUUUCCCGUGUGGCGACCCACUGUACCAGCUGAAACAGCGGUGCUGAAAUUCGUGGUGCUUUUUUGCCCGGGAAUCUUCUGGCCUGGCUCCCUGUUUCAGUCUCCUGUUUAAUCAGAUGAGUGGGUGACUCUGCCCUUCCUGAGCUCCAAUCUCCAGCUUACAAGGGCCACCAGACCAGUGUAUUUUGUGUGGAGAACUGCCCUGCCGGGGCACUGGCAAAACAGCCGCGUCAGCCAUAACAGCCAUGCUGGUGACCCAUGGGGCUCCUCUGCCUGGGAAUCUCCUGGUCUGUGGGCAAUAAAGAUCUGUCUGGAAAUUUGGCAUCCAGUCACCCUCUGCACUUUCACUGGGAGCUGCAAUCCUGAGCUGCUCCUAAACAGCCAUCUUGGAUCUUCUCCCAACUCCUAAGUGAAUCUUAAGAUAUCCCCUCAUAGAACUAUGGCCACUUCCUGACAGCAUUCAAUCCAGAUCAUCUUUGAGCCUUCCCCCAAAUCAUCUAACACAAGUCCAUGUUCUAUGUUAAGUCCUCUCUAAUACCCUCUUACUGAGACACCCCACAGUUCCCCAUGGUGUGUGUUUUCUUCAUUGCAAAAGCCAAUAAGCCAACUUUACCAACUAUAGGUAUGUUCCUGGAACCUUCAGCUGGAGGAUAUUGACAAUAUCAUGACAAUAUCAUAAAUAUCUAGUAGUUAUUUAGGACUUGCAUGUGCUGGAUGCUGUUGUAAGUUAUUCACCUAUAUUGACACCUCUAAUCUUUGUAACAAAUUAUGAGAUUGGCACUUUUAUUAUUCCUGCUUUGCAGAUGAGGAAACUGAAGCACAGAGAGGUUGAGUAAGUGGAAGUCCUAUUUCUCUAAAGAGAGACAUUUCAUUACAAGUUUGAGCAGAAAUUACAGAACAGGGCAAGGGAACACUUCAUUUCUUCAUGGCCUUUAGGACCUGGGUGACUAAGGGCUAGACACGUGCCCUUGGGCUUUUCCAAAGGGAGAUAAGAUCCUCUCUACUUGCUCAUUUUAAGUCAAAAUGUGAAAGGUUGGGGAAAGAAUAAAAGAGUAGGCCAAUUUCUGAAGACUUGUUAUUUUCUUCGAUAUAAACAUAUCUCUUGCCAAGAACAGUGAGUUUAUAUAGAUUUUCAUGUAUCAUCUGCAUAUAUCCUAUGAUAUUUAUUGAGUGCUUUCUCUGUGACAGGCAUGAUUUUAGAUGUUUACUAAUCAUUGACAAGCUUGCUAUGUCUCAGUGCUCAACUCACCUAAUUUCUCAGCAACUUUUGACAUAGUUGAUCACUCCCUCAUUGAGAAACAUUCAAUAAACUUCCUGGGUCUCUCUCUGUCUCCCUGACCAUUCUGUCUCAGUCUCCUUUGCCUUCUCUUCUCCCUUACUGUUACACAUUUCCUGGAGUGGCCCUGGCUCAGAUUGCCAUUGUCUUUUCACCAUCUAUACUCGCUUCCAGGGGGAUCUCAUCCAGUGUCAUAAAUUCAAAUACCAGUCACAUAACUGAUGCCUUCACAUUAAUUUGGCCACAACUACAGACUGCUAUACCAAACUGCCUGCUUGUCAUAUCAUAUCACCUCUAUCCAGUCUAUCAGAAAAUCAUUUCAGCUCCCUAUUCCAAAUAUAUCCAGAAUCCAACCACUUCUCACCAUCUUCAUUGGUGUCACUCUAGACCCUUAUCUGUUGCCUGGAUUAGUGCUAUAGCCUCCUAACUGCUCUCCCUGUUUUUACCCUUGCCCCUCUACAAUAGCUCCUCCCUUUCUUUUUACAUUAAAAUAUAACAUAAACAUAGUGAUGUGCAUAAAUCUUAAUUGUACAGCUUGAUUUCUACAGAUGUUUAUACCUGUGUACUUAACACCCAGAUCAAAAGAUAGAUCAUUCCCAGCACCCCCCUCCCAGGAGGCUUCCUCCUGCCUCUGUCACUGCUAAAAGCAACCACUCUCUAGACUUCUAUCCCCGUAAAUUAAUUUUGCCUAUUUUAAUAAUCCAUAUAUAUGGGACCAUACAGUAUAUACUGUAUUAUAUCUGUUUUUUUCUUCAUUCAACAUUGCAUCUGUGAAAUUCAUCUACAUUGUUGCUUGUAGAAGUAAUUCAUUUUCUCCAUGCUUUGGUAUUCCAUUAUAUGAAUAUACCAUAAUUAUCCAUUCUGUUGAUGGUCAUGUGGAUUAAUUCCUAUGACGAUUGCUGCUAUGAAUGAAAAUGUGUGUUUAUUCCUCUUGAGUACUCAAUAUUCUUAAAACAGAGGUCAGACAGUCCUGUUGAAAUAUCAAAUUACAUAAUUUCUUGCUCAUAACCCUCCAGCAGCAUUCCAUCUUUUCAGAGUAAAAGCUAGAGUUCUGGCAAAGUCCUAUGAGACCCUAUACUCUUGUACUUGUAUAUGGCCCAUUUUCUAAAAGCAUUAACAUUGGAGCUCCUUAGAAGUAGAAAAUCACGUGUCCCUCCUAGGUCUACAGAAUCAGAACCUGCUUUGAGCAAAUCCCCUAGGUGAUUCACAUGCAUGUUAAAGUUUGAGGAGCUCUGCCCUUGGCAGUCUGUCCCUUUGCCAUCACCUUUCCAACCUCGUCUUCUACCACUCUUUCCCUUGCUUACUCCACUCUGGCCACAUGGGUCACUUUGCUGUUUCUUAAACACCCCAGGCAUUUCAUAGCUGAAGGGUUGUCUGGGCAAGACCCGGUGAGCAGUUUCCUUUCCUGACCCAGUCAUAGGGUUCCUGUGUGACCUUAAUUUUAUGGUAUGGUGUCUAACUUUUUAUGCCAUAAUGAAUGAACCCAGAGGAUGAUUAUGGGUGAUGGACAUAGGAUGACUAAGAGCAGGUAACAGUGAUGGGAGUGAGGGAAGGGGGCAUAUGGGAUGAACAGAAACAGACGUCAGAAGGAAAAGAUAAACACUAGAGUGAGGUCAAGAGCUCCUCCAGGGCAGGAGUAGGGUCACAUUUCUCUUUGGCCUCUAUUGUGCUUGUUUUGAUUAUAUGGUCUCUUUGACUGAGGUCAGAAUUUCUCAUCCUCAACACUGUUGAUAUUUGGAGAUGCAAGUCAUUUUGUUGUUGUUGUGUGUGUGUGGUGCCCUGCAUAUCAUAUGAUGUUCAGCAGCAUCCUUGGCCUCUACCCACUAGAUGCCAGUAGCAUACUUCAGUUGUGACAAUCAUAAGUGUUCCCAGACAUUGCCAAAUAUCCCCUGAGAGGCAAAAUCAUCCCUGGUUGAGAACCACUGCUUUAAGACUAAAACAUCCCAAGGUAUCAGGGAAUUACCUCUGCUUAAGUCCUUGACCACUGCUGGGCUUUGGUCUCACUCCCAUUUGUAUCAAGCACUAUAGGAUGUCUGAGAUUUUUAUCCUACAUGCAGGCUAGUUAGUCAGCCUGCCACAGUUUCAUGGGUGCUGGCGGAAGACACAUGACUCCUGGGUCAGAGACAAAGGACUUAUUACUCAUGUUAAUAGUAACAUCCAGUGUAUUCACAUUUUCUUGCAUCCAUUCUCCUUGCCCCCAGGUCCCACAGGAGCUGUGUGAUCAGGGCCAGGAAAUACCUAGAUAUACAGUGGCUUGCAUUACACAAGAUGUAGUCUGAGCUAAAGGCAUCCAAAUCCAGAUAUAAAGGAUCAACAUUUAUUGUGUACUGUUAUUGAAAUAAUACUAAUGGGAAAUAAGCAUGCCUUUCGUUUUCUCUUGAAAGAGACACCAUCUCUGUCUUCCAAGGCUUUUGUUGCAUAAAAAUCCUUUCUGGAGGAAAGACCGUCAGUGUCUUUGUUUGAAAGGCAUACAGAAAUGUGAAAGACGGGUGGAAAAUUGCCUCUCAACUACAGCGCACAGAUUUUGGCUCCUCCCCCUCUCCCCCUCUCCCCCUCUCCCCCUCUCUUCUUCUCCUCCUUUCUCCCUCUCCAACCUCUCCCUCUCCACCCUCUCCACCCUCUCUGUCUUGGGGGUUCUUCCUUACCCAUGAGACUUCACACAACAGACCCUGUUCUUCCUUACUUUCUCCAAAAUAAACGCACAGAUUUAUUGUUUAAACUAUAAAUACACUUCAUAUAUCAAGAUGUCUUUUCAACCCAAAUAAGCAGAUAAGAGGUCACAAGAAUAACAAACAUUAGGAAAGUUAUGAAGGCUUAAGCAAUCUAAAAAGUUCUUAUAAUACUUAUUUACUGUUUUAAUAUGUAUGGAUUUAGAAUGUUUAUUGAUUCAUAACUGUGUACUGUUGUUAAAAUAAUAUUAAUCAUACUGUUUCAAAACCACCCACAGGCUUUCAGUAUCACUGGGAAUAAAGUCUAAAACACUUACAAUGGCCUGGAAGGUCCCACAUGAUCUGCCCUCCCCUGGCCCUACCCACCUCCAUCUGACCUCAUCUCACCUUGGUGUCUUCAUUUCUACUUCAUCUUGCCUCACUUUCACUGUUGUAGUUGUUGCUCUUGUUAAAUAAAGGUGUGAGCAAUACCAAAUAUCAGAGGAAAAUGAAUUAACAUAUCAAAAUUAUUAUAUUUUCAUGUAUAAGUUUCAGUGAUAGACCUUAGGAAACUUGGAGGAAAUUCAUGUUAAUUAGAUACUUUCUGUGUGUGAGGGGCUAUGCUGGAUUCUUGUGCAUCUUUUCAUGCUGGUUUUUGUUUGGGGAGUGAUGCUUUUAUUCUGCUUGAUUAGUUAAGAGGUAGCUCUGAAUUUCUAAUUCACAACUCAAUUUAACCUAUCACAAUCUUAGAUCUUUUUCAUGUUGUGUUUACAUGGUCAUUUUUUCUUCAUCUUACCUGUGUAUCAUUUUACUUCUCUUCCACAGACCAUUCAGUCUAAGCAAGAGCAUUGUCUCCAGAGUAGCUAAGUAGAUUUAAAAAGUAGAUUUUAAAUGAAAGCUUAACUUUACCUGCUGAGCACACAGUCACAGUCAAAGUAUAGCAAUGUCAUAGUGAGAUUUUAUUCUUCUCCAUGUCUAGCCUGAACUAUGAUAUAUAGCAUGCACUAUUGACUUCUUUCUUCUUUACUAACAGAAGCUCUAAAACACAAAUAUGUAAAUUAUUUUUAUCAACUUUAUCUGCAAUUUCAUAAAGAUCAUUUUUUAACUCUGUAAUAAUUAAAAGAUUCCUCUGUCUAGUUCUGUUCUGAACCCCUGACCAUUUUUCAUGUCCUUCUCAGUUUCCUUUCUCAGUGGCUCACAUACUUGCCACUCUUCAGAGUAGUCCCAGGCCUUCCACUUCUGUGGGAUUUCCCCAAACAACGGCUUUUACUUGCAUUACUUUAAUCCAGGAAUAUAUGUUGGAAGUUCUCAAACCUAGAACUCCAAUGUGAACCUCCUGCCCAGGUCUCAAAUCCAUCUAUCUCACUGCCUUUUGGAGCCAGGGCUGCCACAAAUGGUCAGGCAGCUGUGACGGUGGAAUGGCUCCAUGUAAAAGGAUGCCUACACUUCACUGCUUCCCAGGCCCUGCAAAUUCAGCACAUUUGAAGCUGAAGUCAUCUGGCCUUCAAAUUGCUUUUCCUCUAUUUCCUGUCUCAGUAAAUGGCACCUGUAUCCACUAACUUAGGAUCCCUAAGCCCUGGGCCACAGACUAGUACUGGUCAGUGGCCAGUUAGGAACUGGGCUGAACAACAGGAGGUGAGCAGCAGUGAGUGAGCAUUACCACCUGAGCUUCACCUCCUGCCAGAUCAAGGGUGGCAUUAUAUUCUCAUAGAAGUGUGAACCCUGUUGUGGACUGUGCAUGUGAGGGAUCUAAGUUGUAUGCUCCUUAGGAGAAUCUAAUGCCUGAUGAUCUGCCACUGUCUCCCAUCACCCUCAGAUGGGACUGUCUAGUUGCAGGAAAACAAGCUCAGAGCUCUCACUGAAUCUGCAUUAUGGUGAGUUGUAUUAUUAUUUCCUAAAGUACACCAUAAAUGUAAUGCAUUUGAAUCGUCCUGAAACCAUCCUCCUACCUGGUCCAUGGAAAAAUAGUCUUCCAUGAAAUUGGUUCCUGGUGCCAAAAAGGUUGGGGACCACUGCACUUGCUGAUCCAGCCAGCAACUGGAAAGUAUAUUCAUUUCCUAGAGCUGCCUCAACAAAUGUACUAGUUUUAAGCAACUAAAGAUGAUGAUUUCACAGUUCUGAAGGCUAGAAGGUCCAUGGUCCCUCUGAAGGCUCUGGGGGAGAAUCCUUUUUUGCCUGUUGCUGCAGUGGCUCCAAGCAUUCCUUGGCUUGUGGCUGCAUUGCUCCAAUCUCUGCGUACAUCUUCACAUGGCCUUCUCCAACUUGGCCUCUGUACUCUGUGUGUCUUUUAUAAGGACAUUUGUCAUUGGAUUUAGAGCUCAAUUGGAUAAUCUAGAAUGAUCUCAUCUUAAUAUCCUUAAUUAUAUCCUCAAAGACUUCUAAAUAAGGUCACAUUCUUAGGUUUCGGGGGUUAGGAUAUGGACACACCUUUCAGGGGCCACCAUUUAAUCCACCAUAGGGAGUCAACCCCUACUCUUCCCUUCUUUCUCCACCCACAUUCAGGUUCCCACAGUUCUUACUGAUUAUAUGUCCUUUGGUGCCCAUCUACUUCUUUCUGUCUCUGCCACCCUACUUCAAGGCAACAUCAGCACCUGCCUGUCUGUUGUGAAAACUUCCCUAGUAGGUCUGCCUGUGGUCAGUACUGUUCCCCUCUAUUCGUCACAGGGCAGCCAGAAUCCAUUUAAAAUGCGAAUCUGAUCAUGUCACUGUCCUGUUUCAGUCACUUUAUGGCUCCCCAUGAAGUCUAACAUCUUUAGCAUGGUUUGCAAAUUCCUCCCAUCCUGCCCUCCUUCCUUCAAUACCUCAGUCAACUCUCUCCUUGUUUUCUUCAGUAGCUCUUGCAGGAUUUAUUUCAUUUCCUCAAAUUAACCAUGCUCACUCUUCUUUCCAGGCUUUGGCCUAUGUUGUUCCUCUGCCUGAAGUGUUCCCACUCUUCACCCCUCAUUCCUAUCUCCACUCACCUGGGUAACUCCUAUAGGUCUUCAGCUUCAAUGUCAUUUCCUCACAGAGGCCUCUCAGGACCCGUUAACUAGCUCUGGCAGCCCUGGUGUGCACUUUCAUAAUGCCCUGAAGUGUACCCAUCAUAGCUCUGAUGACCAAUACUGAAAUUUCUUGUUUAAUGCUGUCACCCUACCUACUAGAUUAUAUGCUCGAUGAGGGAAGGUACUGUCUUCCAUCCUUAGCAUCCAGAGACUGCCUGAACUCUCCAUAAAUGGUUGGCAAGUAGGGAAUGAAUAAAGAGUCUUCAUGCAUAGUUUAUUUUCCAAUGAUUUAUUAUAGGAAUAAUUCUGAAUUUCUCUACUUUAAGAAUAAAAUGGGAAAGUUGUGAGGCUAAUAUGACUUUUUUCCAGGUUGCACAUUUUUGACUGCUGAGUCUUGUGACUGGGUAAACAGGCCAGGAGAGGAGUGCCUUGUGGCUGAGACCAACUUCGAAACAACACAGUCCCACUACACAGAGGAAACAAGUGAAGAACCUGUUCACCCUCUUAGCACAGUCCUGUCUCCUAAGACAUCACCCUUUUGAAGCAUGCUCCAGAUCUUCUCUUCAUUUACAGUCUCAGCUGGAAAGGCAACUCAUCAUGCAGAGUGAAAUGAGGGAAAGACAAAUGGCCAUGCAGAUAGCAUGGUCUCGGGAAUUCCUCAAAUAUUUUGGAACUUUUUUUGGCCUUGCAGCCAUCUCUUUAACAGCUG